rnacentral:rRNA from 1 species
AUUGAACGCUGGCGGCAGGCCUAACACAUGCAAGUCGAACGAGUGGCGGACGGGUGAGUAAUGUCUGGGAAACUGCCUGAUGGAGGGGGAUAACUACUGGAAACGGUCGCUACUACCGCAUACCAUCCGAUGUUCCCAGAUGGGAUUAGCUAGUGGGGGGGGUAAAGGCUCACCUAGGCGAAGAGCCCUAGCUGGUCUGAGAGGAUGACCAGCCACACGGGAACUGAGACACGGUCCAGACUCCUACGGGAGGCAGAAGUGGGGAAGAUUGCACAAUGGGCGCAAGCCUGAUGGAGCCAUGCCGCGUGUAUGAAGAAGGCCUUCGGGUUGUAAAGCACUUUCAGCGGGGAGGCGUUACCCGAAGAGGAAGCACCGGCUAACUCCGUGCCAGCAGCCGCGGUAAUAC